AAUUGCUUGCCGCCGGGUAAGCUGAAAUAACGCUGUGUCAUAUAUCGUUAGGCCUAUGAAGAUAUAUGGUAUCAGCGUUUUAUUUUG
rnacentral:ncRNA from 1 species